rnacentral:misc_RNA from 1 species
AUAAGACACCCAAAGAUUAAAGUGAUCACAACUUUCAGUUGAUUUUUUUCUUCAGCCAGUGACAUUUGUUUUGUUGGGGCACCAUGAAUUUGUCAAACGACACUACCAGUGCCAUUCCGGGUUUUUCGGAUCCGGGGUUAUUUGACCGGUAUCAAUUUUUGACGGAAUCCCCGGGGGUGGCGAUUUCCGUCAUUGUGAUCCUCCUCUUGGCGGGUCUAGUGGGAACAUGUGGGAAUAUCCUGAUUUUGUUAGCGCUCUGCGUGAUGAAAAACAUGAAAUCACUCGAGUCCAUCUUCAUCGCAAAUUUGGCGAUAUCCGACAUCAAAGCUAGAGGGCGAAAAUUUCUUCAGCUUGUACCCAGGGCUUUGUCAGUUCAUAGCGUACGGUUGCACGAUGUCCUGCGUGAACUCGCUAGGUACAAUUGCAUUGAUGAGUUUCAACCGAUACAUUUUUAUCUGCCAUCAUCAAUAUUACGAUAAAAUUUUCAAGAAACCCACAUGCAUAUUGAUGUGUUUAUCGCUGUACUCCGUUGGUCUUCUGCUGGUGCUUUUGAAUUUGGCGGGAAUUGGUGACCAUUCUUUCGACAGAAAGAGCCUGGAGUGUAUUUGGGAUCGGAUGGCAACGUAUUACUACACUGUCGUGUUUUCGGUAACUCUAGUCUGGAUUCCGGUUCUCGUUACGGGGUUCUCGUAUCUAAACAUCUACAUCAUGGUGACCAAAAGCACAAAGAGAAUGAAAAAGCACCAAGUUCGAGAUCAGCCAUCCAAAUCCUCCAUUAGUCUGGCGCGAACUCUGUUCAUAAUUUACGCGGUUUUCGCCACAUGUUGGAUCCCGUAUGCUCUCAUCAUCGUGGUUGACAGAAAUGAUACUUUCCCGCAUGAAGCCCACCUGUAUGUGACCGUCUUUGCCCAUCUCCAUCCCUCGAUCAACUGGCUCGUCUACUACUUUACGAAUACCAAAUUUCGCCGCGCCUUUGACAAAAUUGCAGGUUUACAUCGCGUCUUUGGACUUUGCAGACGACAGCCACCGGAGAGUAUCGACUCCACUGGGGUACUGAGUACUUCCGAUUCUCAUCCCAAAAACAAGAAUACAAGCUUGGCUACCAUGUCUUCCGGGGACGAUUUCCCUAGUAAAGACAUACCAACGAAAGACAGCGUGGACUCAUACAUGUGAGCAGACGAAAGACAGUGUAGAAUCGUACACAUGAGCAGAUUUAAUCUGAUACCGAGGUACUUGGGAAAAAAUCGAGACAUAUCUCAAUCUAUUUUAACAUGGUACGUCGUGUAAAAUAGAAUUGAAAAAAUAAGCAGGCUACAGUGUAUAAGAAUUUCCAAGGCUAGUGAAUAGAAAACAACGAGUUAAAUUCAAAUCACAUUCUAUCAAAUAUCUUGGCGUGAUAUGGACAUGGAUCUACGAAUUAGUCCUUUUUUGGUGAAGUUUGUGACGCAGUAAAUAUUCAAUUCAUUCCAACAUUAGUUGUUACGUCACCAAAGUAACAUGAGCGUCUACGAUAUAGCCAAAGCAAAUCAGACACACAUGUGAUAAAGAUAUGUUGGUUUUUUUUUUUAUUCUGUCGCGUGUUUAAUUUUAUUUUUUUAAUUAAUUUGUGAUGGUACGAAGUGUUACCACUUACAUUUUUUAAAAUGUUUCUUUUGAACAUAAUGUAUGUACUCCAAUUGAAAUCUUUAAUCAAUCGAUGCUGUUAUUAAUAUGUGCUUAUAGUAUAGUGUGUAUCAUUAUCAGAGCAUGUGCGAACAUUUUUUUAAUGUUUCUAUUAAACAUAAUGUAUGUACUCCAAUUGAAAUCAUUAAUCAAUCGAUGCUGUUUUCAAUAUGUGCUUAUAGUAUAGUGUGUAUCAUUAUCAAAGCAUGUGCGAUUUUGAUUUCGAGAUUGAACGGAAAUGAGCAUAUCUUUUUUUCCAAGAUGGAUUUAUUUGGGGGAGGGGGAGGGGUAUUUGAUGUAUGCACAUGCAUUUCUUUUUUAUGUAUAUCGCAGGAAAUAAUCAUGUAAAUAAAGAUCUUUAUCAUCAUC